rnacentral:rRNA from 1 species
GAUGAACGCUGGCGGCGUGCCUAAUACAUGCAAGUCGAGCGAGCAGACGAGGAGCUUGCUCCUCUGACGUUAGCGGCGGACGGGUGAGUAACACGUGGAUAACCUACUUAUAAGACUGGGAUAACUUCGGGAAACCGGAGCUAAUACCGGAUAAUCUAUUGAACCGCAUGGUUCAAUAGUGAAAGACGGUUUUGCUGUCACUUAUAGAUGGAUCCGCGCCGCAUUAGCUAGUUGGUAAGGUAACGGCUUACCAAGGCAACGAUGCGUAGCCGACCUGUGAGGGGGGUCGGCGACACUGGAGCGGAGACGCGGUCCAGACGCCUACGAGAGGCAGCAGUAGGGAAUCUUACGCAGUGGGCGAAAGCAUGACGGAGCGACGCCGCGUGAGUGAUGAAGGUCUUCGGAUCGUAAAACUCUGUUAUGAGGGAAGAACAAAUGUGUAAGUAACUAUGCACGUAUUGACGGUACCUAAUCAGAAAGCCACGGCUAACUACGUG